rnacentral:rRNA from 1 species
CCUACGGGGGGCAGCAGUGGGGAAUAUUGCACAAUGGGGGAAACCCUGAUGCAGCGACGCCGCGUGAAGGAAGAAGGUCUUCGGAUCGUAAACUUCUAUCAGCAGGGAAGAAGAAAGUGACGGUACCUGAAUAAGAAGCCCCGGCUAACUACGUGCCCGCAGCCGCGGUAAUACGUAGGGGGCAAGCGUUAUCCGGAAUCACUGGGUGUACAGGGUGCGUAGGCGGUAGGGCAAGUCAGAUGUGAAAGCCCGGAGCUUAACUCCGGGAUUGCAUUUGAAACUGUCUUACUAGAGUGCAGGAGAGGUACGCGGAAUUCCUAGAGUAGCGGUGAAAUGCGUAGAUAUUAGGAAGAACGCCAGUGGCGAAGGCGGCUUUCUGGACUGUAGCUGACGCUGAGGCACGAAAGCGUGGGGAGCGAACAGGAUUAGAUACCCCUGUAGUC